CAAUUGGAGGGCAAGUCUGGUGCCAGCAGCCGCGGUUAAUUCCAGCUCCAAUAGCGUAUAUUAAAGUUGUUGCAGUUAAAAAGCUCGUAGUUGAACCUUGGGCCUGGCUGGCCGGUCCGUCUCACGGCGUGCACUGGUCCGGCUGGGCCUUUCCUCUUGGGGAACCCCAUGGCCUUCACUGGCCGUGGGCGGAACCAGGGCUUUUACUGUGAAAAAAUUAGAGUGUUCAAAGCAGGCCUUUGCUCGGAUACAUUAGCAUGGAAUAAUAGAAUAGGACGUGUGGUUCUAUUUUGUUGGUUUCUAGGACCGCCGUAAUGAUUAAUAGGGAUAGUCGGGGGCGUCAGUAUUCGGCUGUCAGAGGUGAAAUUCUUGGAUUUGCCGAAGACUAACUACUGCGAAACCAUUCGCCAAGGAUGUUUUCAUUAAUCAGUGAACGAAAGUUAGGGGAUCGAAGACGAUCAGAUACCGUCGUAGUCUUAACCAUAAACUAUGCCGACUAGGGAUCGGACGGGGUUUCUUUUAUGACCCGUUCGGCACCUUACGAGAAAUCAAAGUUUUUGGGUUCUGGGGGGAGUAUGGUCGCAAGGCUGAAACUUAAAGAAA
rnacentral:rRNA from 1 species